UAAAGGUUUGCAAGGUCGUCUGCUCGGUCUUCCUACAGCCCACGUAGGACCUCCUGUCAGCGCCGGAGCCAGUGAAGUCGUCGAUCCGACAGCGUUACGAACGUGAACAUUUUUCCUUCAGCACUGCGGCGGAGGGUACAGGCGCUCAGACCAGGGAGAGACGGCUCAGGAGAUGGAUGUCCUUCGGACCACUGCUCUCAUUCUCCUCAUUGUGACUAUGGCAUCAUCAAAACCACUCAGAUGGCGCGGAAACAACCUCCGAAAAAUGGUCACCAAAGUAGUGGAGUCCUCAGAAUCCAGUGAGGCUGUCUCCUCGGAGGAGCUGGAUCCAGUGACCACUCCACCGGUCAUCCCCGACACGACCCUCCUGGCUGUCGUCACAGACACUCCUCUGCCCCUCAUCCCAGAGGCCACCCUUGAGCCUACACCCCCGCCCCUAGCUAUCGAGACCGGAGCCCCCCUAACCCUCACUGAGGGUCCUCCGAUUCCCGAUCUGCCAACUGAUCCAUUUUCAGCUGUGACACCAGACCUCGUUGAGCCUUUGGCUCCAUCUACGCCUCAACCUAUCAGCGGUCUCCCUCUAUGUGUUAAUGUAGACUUUUCAACGUACCCCCCGUUACCAAGCAGAGGUGACAACUUGAAGUAACGCAAAGCGAUACCAUUAGCUAGCAGGACGUUAUAUAGUCUCCCUCACAUUAUCCACAACCUUUCCCUGGCCUUCUGUGUUAGUAUUACCUGUUUAUAGGAUGAAGGUUCAGGAUGCUGACGGACAGGAACACUAUCCCUGGUCCAUGAAACAUUUAUCGAUCUAUGUCCAUAUAUGUCUUUUCAGCAUUUGUGAAGGUGACAUUCAUUGUUUUCCCAGCAAUGCUACCAAUAAAGGGUAUAUCAAACACA